rnacentral:rRNA from 1 species
CCUACGGGUGGCAGCAGGGAGGAAUAUUGGGCAAUGGGCGAAAGCCGGAACCAGCCAAGUAGCGUGAGGGAUGAAGGUGCGAUGGAGGGUAAACCGCGUUUAUAAGGGAAUAAAGUGCGGGACGUGUCCCGUUUUGUAUGUACCUUAUGAAUAAGGAUCGGCUAACUCCGUGCCAGCAGCCGCGGUAAUACGGAGGAUCCGAGCGUUAUCCGGAUUUAUUGGGUUUAAAGGGUGCGUAGGCGGCCUUUUAAGUCAGCGGUGAAAGUCUGUGGCUCAACCAUGGAAUUGCCGUUGAACCUGGGAGGCUUGAUUCUGUUUGAGGCAGGCGUCAUGCGUGGUGUAGCGG